UGGGGAAUCUUAGACAAUGGGGGAAACCCUGAUCUAGCCAUGCCGCGUGAGUGACGAAGGCCCUAGGGUCGUAAAGCUCUUUCGCCAGGGAAGAUAAUGACGGUACCUGGUAAAGAAACCCCGGCUAACUCCGUGCCAGCAGCCGCGGUAAUACGGAGGGGGUUAGCGUUGUUCGGAAUUACUGGGCGUAAAGCGCACGUAGGCGGACCAGUCAGUCAGAGGUGAAAUCCCGGGGCUCAACCUCGGAACUGCCUUUGAUACUGCUGGUCUCGAGUUCGAGAGAGGUGAGUGGAAUUCCGAGUGUAGAGGUGAAAUUCGUAGAUAUUCGGAGGAACACCAGUGGCGAAGGCGGCUCACUGGCUCGAUACUGACGCUGAGGUGCGAAAGCGUGGGGAGCAAACAGGAUUAGAUACCCCCGUAGUCC
rnacentral:rRNA from 1 species